CGCCGGGCGGGUGCUAUACAUGCAGUCGAACGAACUCUGGUAUUGAUUGGUGCUUGCAUCAUGAUUUACAUUUGAGUGAGUGGCGAACUGGUGAGUAACACGUGGGAAACCUGCCCAGAAGCGGGGGAUAACACCUGGAAACAGAUGCUAAUACCGCAUAACAACUUGGACCGCAUGGUCCGAGUUUGAAAGAUGGCUUCGGCUAUCACUUUUGGAUGGUCCCGCGGCGUAUUAGCUAGAUGGUGAGGUAACGGCUCACCAUGGCAAUGAUACGUAGCCGACCUGAGAGGGUAAUCGGCCACAUUGGGACUGAGACACGGCCCAAACUCCUACGGGAGGCAGCAGUAGGGAAUCUUCCACAAUGGACGAAAGUCUGAUGGAGCAACGCCGCGUGAGUGAAGAAGGGUUUCGGCUCGUAAAACUCUGUUGUUAAAGAAGAACAUAUCUGAGAGUAACUGUUCAGGUAUUGACGGUAUUUAACCAGAAAGCCACGGCUAACUACGUGCCAGCAGCCGCGGUAAUACGUAGGUGGCAAGCGUUGUCCGGAUUUAUUGGGCGUAAAGCGAGCGCAGGCGGUUUUUUAAGUCUGAUGUGAAAGCCUUCGGCUCAACCGAAGAAGUGCAUCGGAAACUGGGAAACUUGAGUGCAGAAGAGGACAGUGGAACUCCAUGUGUAGCGGUGAAAUGCGUAGAUAUAUGGAAGAACACCAGUGGCGAAGGCGGCUGUCUGGUCUGUAACUGACGCUGAGGCUCGAAAGUAUGGGUAGCAAACAGGAUUAGAUACCCUGGUAGUCCAUACCGUAAACGAUGAAUGCUAAGUGUUGGAGGGUUUCCGCCCUUCAGUGCUGCAGCUAACGCAUUAAGCAUUCCGCCUGGGGAGUACGGCCGCAAGGCUGAAACUCAAAGGAAUUGACGGGGGCCCGCACAAGCGGUGGAGCAUGUGGGUUUAAUUCGAAGCUACGCGAAGAACCUUACCAGGUCUUGACAUACUAUGCAAAUCUAAGAGAUUAGACGUUCCCUUCGGGACAUGGAUACAGGUGGUGCAUGGUUGUCGUCAGCUCGUGUCGUGAGAUGUUGGGUUAAGUCCGCACGAGCGCAACCCUUAUUAUCAGUUGCCAGCAUUAAGUUGGGCACUCUGGUGAGACUGCGGUGACAACGGAGAGGUGGGAUGACGUCAAUCAUCAUGCCCUUAUGACUGGCUACCACUGCUACAUGGAUGUCACGAGUGGAACUCGCGGAGUAGCUAUAUCUUUAAAGCCAUUCUCAUUC
rnacentral:rRNA from 1 species